AUUGAACGCUGGCGGCAGGCCUAACACAUGCAAGUCGAACGGUAACAGGAAGAAGCUUGCUUCUUUGCUGACGAGUGGCGGACGGGUGAGUAAUGUCUGGGAAACUGCCUGAUGGAGGGGGAUAACUACUGGAAACGGUAGCUAAUACCGCAUAACGUCCCAAGACCAAAGAGGGGGACCUUCGGGCCUCUUGCCAUCGGAUGUGCCCAGAUGGGAUUAGCUAGUAGGUGGGGUAACGGCUCACCUAGGCGACGAUCCCUAGCUGGUCUGAGAGGAUGACCAGCCACACUGGAACUGAGACACGGUCCAGACUCCUACGGGAGGCAGCAGUGGGGAAUAUUGCACAAUGGGCGCAAGCCUGAUGCAGCCAUGCCGCGUGUAUGAAGAAGGCCUUCGGGUUGUAAAGUACUUUCAGCGGGGAGGAAGGGAGUAAAGUUAAUACCUUUGCUCAUUGACGGUACCCGCAGAAGAAGCACCGGCUAACUCCGUG
rnacentral:rRNA from 1 species